UACGAAGGGGGCUAGCGUUGUUCGGAUUUACUGGGCGUAAAGCGCACGUAGGCGGAUCGUUAAGUCGGGGGUGAAAUCCUGGAGCUCAACUCCAGAACUGCCUUCGAUACUGGCGAUCUUGAGUCCGGAAGAGGUGAGUGGAACUCCUAGUGUAGAGGUGGAAUUCGUAGAUAUUAGGAAGAACACCAGUGGCGAAGGCGGCUCACUGGUCCGGUACUGACGCUGAGGUGCGAAAGCGUGGGGAGCAAACAGGGAUUAAGAAACCCUUGGUAA
rnacentral:rRNA from 1 species